GUUCCAUAGAAUUCUUUCUAACCAGAAUGUCAUCAUUGUCAUUGAAGCAGUAAUGAGGACCUCCUUUCAUGAGCCCAUUACCAUGCAGUUUACAUCUGGUUAAUAAGAAACACUCAUAUAACUCUGUUAUGCUCUCUAUGUUCCUUGGUCUUUCACCCCAUAUUUGAAUAUUUACUGAUGUAUUCACUAUUCAUCAAGUACCCUGUCAAGAUUAUAAAGAAGGUCUCUGCAUAGCGGAAGCAGAGACAUGAGAGGGAGAGGAGGUGGGCGUGGGUGAUUCACGUUUCUCCUGCAGUGCAUGAAGGUAUCUGCAUACUAGAGAGAGAAAGAGGUAGUCACCAAGCUAGGAAGAAUUUGUUGUAUCGGUUUGCGUGCUGCUGUGAUGUCAUGAUUGUUACUCACUCUUCCCCAGUAGCCAGCUUACGAAUGGACUGCUACACUUCUCACUAGUUGCGAGUACUGGCAGAACUUCAAACGUGGUUUUCACACUUUGCUUUGUGACCAGCUAGUAGAACUUUGAAGAGUUUGACUUGGUUUAUUCUUGUUGGAUAUUUCAUACUGGAAAUAAAUCUGGAUAUUAAGGAAUUUAGACCUAAGUCUGGUUGGUGAAACAAAUCUUGAGUGGAAGACAACCCUGGACACAUUUUCUGUGGCUGGUACCUGCUAGGAGAUAUCAAUGUUUUGACAAGCUUCAAGAAUCCACAGUUCCUAUCUGGUGAAAAAGUUGACAUCCAUGACGGAAGUACUCUAAGGUGUGAAAGGAAGUAAUAACAUAUCAUAGAGCACUUGAAGUUUCUCAUCUAGGAUAGGUAGGAAACACUAAAGAUCAUGUGUCAUUGAUUUCCCAGCAUGCAUUGAAAUUGUCGAGUUUGUCUGCAUAUGUUAUGUUGAUCGCUCUAUUUCAAUAGUAUGCAAGAUGGCGUAUGAAUUAUAAAAAAGUGAUCUGUAAAAAGGGAAGUUCACCCUCAUAUCAAGUUAGUUUUAAUUCCAGUAGAAAAAUGGGAGGAAUGUAUAAUGAAUGUUAGGUUAAUAUCCAUCAGAUGAUAACAGAUACAAAUUUGAAGUUUAAUUUUGUGAUGUCACUUAGAAGCAGCUCCUUCAUUAUCACACGCAAUAAAGGCCCUAGUUUUGUGUAUUUAAAAUCCUUUUUUUUUUUCAAAAAUCUCAGAUUGUUUUAGUUUUGCAGUUAAUAAUCAGACACAUUUCAUAUUUAUGCUUCAUGGGAGGUCUGCUUGCAUGUGACACUGGGGGGUACUUCCCUUUAACUGGAUUUAUCAACUUUCAAUAUAUGUAUGUAAUUGUGCAUUUGUCCUGUGAUGUAGCAUCUAGGACUUCAGACCAUCGUUUCUCUGCUUUAAUAUGUGAAGCAUUCACAUCCUUAUCAAUCAAAUAAAACCAACCAAUGCUGUUUGUACACAUUUCAUAUUGAAAAUAAGGUAGUGCUGUAAAUCAACAUGACAAGUAUAAGAGGAAACUUUCAGAAUGAGACAACUUUCAUGUUUAUUUUAAAAUGAAUCAUUCAACUGCAAGUCUUGGUCAAUUUAUUCAAAUUUAUUGUACUGCCAAGCUCAUUGCAACAUACUGAAUCACUGCAUCCUCUCCCUAAGUGUAUUCACAAAGCUUAAUAGACCAAUCAUGGAUGCGUAAAUCCAACCAUCUAUUGUCAUUUGGAGCCAUUAAACAGACAAUAGAAACAAUCAUUAACAAGCGUGAUUAUGUACAAUACUUCUCACAAUACUCCCUUGCGCCAUGUCUAUUGGCAAUGACAGGCCACAAACCCUCAGGGCAGAAGAGAGUAGUGUCUGCCUGUACUGAUGUAUACAGUAAUUUAUUUUGCUGUCACUCUGAUGAUAAUCCUGCACGUGACUCAAAAUGGCUAGAUAAGUUUUGGUAUGGUGCUUGAUAUAAAUGAAGAUAGAUAAAGAAUUUUAUUUUUAUCCUGUUUGCCCUUCACUAUUUGUAAAUAGACCAUCACUACAUCAGUGAAAUUGUAUUGUUAAAAAAACAUGAUAACAGUAAAAUGUUGCAGAUGAGAAUAAUCUCAUUAUUAUUAUAGAGUGUGUGAAAUACAGGAAAAUGCUAAUAUUUAUUCCAACAUUCC